rnacentral:rRNA from 1 species
CCUACGGGCGGCAGCAGUGAGGAAUCUUGGUCAAUGGACGCAAGUCUGAACCAGCCAUGCCGCGUGCAGGAAGACGGCUCUAUGAGUUGUACACUGCUUUUGUAGGAGGGUAAACGCAGAUACGCGUAUCUUUCUGACAGUAUCGUACGCAUAAGGAUCGGCUAACUCCGUGCCCGCAGCCGCGGCAAUACGGAGGCUUCAAGCGUUAUCCUGAUUUAUUGGGGUUAAAGGGUGCGUAGGCGGUCGGAUAAGUUAGAGGUGAAAUCCCGAGGGUCAACUUCGGAAUUGCCUCGGAUACUGUUCGACUAGAGAGUAGUAGCGGAAGGCGGAAUGGAAGGUGUAGCGGUGAAAUGCUUAGAGAU